rnacentral:lncRNA from 1 species
AGAGAGUGGAAAUGAACGAAUAUAUUGAUUCAAUUGCACAAUCUGUUACAUUGCAAUGCAAGUAUCAUCAUUAGGAGUACAUCACUUUCUUAGAAAAUACACUUUACAUAAUAUAAAAUUUCUAGAAAUUGAAAGAAUUAUUUUCGACUCUCCUCCAAGUACCAAGCAUCAACAUAUAGGGGCUUCUGGCUUGCGCCCAUGCUAGCCCUACCAAAGCUAGGCUCGCCAAAUUUUUGGCUGACAAAUUCGCCGCCGUCAUCUCACCAAGAGUUGGAGCAGCAAACUGAAGCAGGACCAAAGUUGGCGUCCAUCCAAAUGCUGGCCAACGCACUUUGACAAUAAUUUGGCACGGCGGCUCUUGGCUCUGAACCAAACAGAUCCAUAUUCUCCAAGUAUCCAAGUAACCAUGUACUGUAUUAUUGAACUUCUCAACCUACAAUGAAAAAACAUAAUACUAUUCUGGCAUUUAUUUGAAAUUUGAAGUUUAAAUAUACAUGCUAUGAGUUGUACCUAAAGGAUCCAUAUAAAAAUAACCAGUGUGCAAGAAAAGAUCGUUGGGAGAAAACUACAAGCUUAUGUAUGUCUGACAAAUAACUUCGUACAUAAUAAAACACCAAGCAUCGCUGAGCAAUCUGAUGUACAUGUACACUGUGAACAACCAUCAACAUGCAUGUCCUACUAACAAUUAUCCAAAGAUCGUAUUGUAUCAACAAUGAGAUGAAUUCAGCAACCAACUAUUAGAUAAAUAGGUAACCAGUAAUAUCAACUACACAGGGUUGAAUAAUUCUAUUUUCCAAAGGUCUAUGCAUUAAUUAGUUUUGCAUCACCAAUGCGUGUGUAUUAAUCAUGCUUGGUAUGGUGUAUUAGGAUUUAGGAGAAACAAACUCAAUGCCAACAGCUCAAAAAUCAUUAAAUAAUCCACCUCAUGCAAAACUUCGUACUUACUUGAUAACUAAAUGUUAUACUUUAGUAUUUCCCAAUCCAUGAAUCAAGAUUCUCAGAACCUGUAGAAGCAACAACAUGACAAAGAAACGCAUCAUCAGAUUGGGGCUUCUCUAGGAAAAAGUAGGAGAGUCCUGUUCUAGAGAAGGUUGGACCCUAGAUGUUUACAGAAAAAUAAAAAGAAAUUAAUAUGCCCCUCUUUUAUUCUUCAAGACAAACCUAGUACAAAAGAUGAUUACAUAUUUUAGAAAUGCAUCAGAGGUGACCAAUGUAAUGGUUGAACAAUCUGAAUAAAAGCAGAACUAAGUAAUGGCUAAACAAUGUUUUGUCAGUGAGUACCCAGUCCAAUGUGGCAUAUGCUAUAAUCAAGAAAUUUGAUCCUUGUCGCCACUUGGCCCUCUAAUCAUGUAUCAUUUGUCCUGUCAUUGAAUAACUGAUCAUCAAUACCUAUAUGAAUGUACAAAAUAUGGGACUGGACAAAAUUUAAGACUGUAUAAAUAGAUAUAUAUAUAUUGGCACACUUAACUAGCAAAGAUUCGCUGGACCAGUUAGUGUAAAAUUAAGGAUAUAUAAUAAAUAAGAAUGCAACAUCAUGAGAAGAAGAAAAUGAAACUGAAACCAGGGGAGAGUGUAUCAAGAAAUGAAUGGGUUGCCCCACUUUCUCUGGCAUUGUAGUAAGAUGUACAUAUCCAUCUGCCCCUGAAGAUGCACGCUGUUAAAGCAAGUAACUCCCUUGAAUAAUCAGGCAAGGCAAGCUAAAUAUUUCACCACAAUCUUAUCUAUUUGCGCAUCUAGUUUGAAACCUGAGCUGUAUGAGUAUUUAGAGACUAAUGACUGUUAGCUGACAUUUCGCAGGCACAGAAAAUGCAAGGGGAAAAUCACAUGAUGAUAUACAGGUGGAAAAUAUAUUUAGAUACAGUCGACACAAAUCUUAUUGGUUGCCUGGUAAGUUUUCCUACUAACCUCCAUGUCAUGGAGUAGUACAACUCCAGCACGUAAGUGACUUCCAGAGCUCGGAGAUUUCAUGGUAUGACAACCUGAAGCCAAUGUCGAGGCAGCCUGGAGCUCCUCCAUAUCCUCCAGAACAAAGAUGAUGAUGUCAAUAGAGUUCAUCAUAGGUUCAAUGCAUGUUUUAUCUUGAUAACAGAAGGGGAAAAGCAUUAGCAGCUGAAUCAUACUUGCAUUACGGGCUUAUAAGGUAAUUUGUUUCAGAUCCAACCUACAGUCCAGAUUAACAGUCGAAACAAUAUAGCAGGGCCGGGGUGGCGCAACACUGUCAUGCCCGAGCGGGCAGCAGCACACACACGUGAUUUAGUGGGCCUACAGACCGUAGGCGAGGGAACCACGCCGGCCACCGUUGCGACUAGGGUUAAGAAUAAAUCAUUUGUAUAUAUAACAUGAAGGUAUGGUUAGAAGCCUUGGUGUGCAGCACGAUUCAUCUAUGCGUGCAAAUCAACCAAUAGGGUACCUGUACAUUAUCGUUUUUGCUGGUUUGCGUUGAAGGUGAACAUGUGUUACAGCCAAAACCUGUGUUACUAGUAGUUUGAAGUUGCAAAUAAUUUUUUCCACAACGUGAUCUUAAAUAAUAAUCAGUUAAAGGUGCAUGACAGUAGUAGCUAUGUUGGAACAUCUAUCACAGAUUACGGCAGAAUAUAAGGAUUCAGAGGAACCGAGCAAGUCCCUCAAGAUGUGUGUUGUUACCGACGGUGCGAUGUUGCUCUUGCUG